ACUUAAAUUGAAGAGUUUGAUCAUGGCUCAGAUUGAACGCUGGCGGCAGGCCUAACACAUGCAAGUCGAGCGGUAGCACAGAGAGCUUGCUCUCGGGUGACGAGCGGCGGACGGGUGAGUAAUGUCUGGGAAACUGCCUGAUGGAGGGGGAUAACUACUGGAAACGGUAGCUAAUACCGCAUAACGUCGCAAGACCAAAGAGGGGGACCUUCGGGCCUCUUGCCAUCAGAUGUGCCCAGAUGGGAUUAGCUAGUAGGUGGGGUAAUGGCU
rnacentral:rRNA from 1 species